AGUUAAUGAGCUUGUUAUAAGCGUAUACUUUGAAAGUAUAAAAAAGAGGAGAACCCCCUAUUAAUUU
rnacentral:tRNA from 1 species